AACGAACGCUGGCGGCAGGCUUUACACAUGCAAGUCGAACGGUAACAGGCCGCAAGGUGCUGACGAGUGGCGAACGGGUGAGUAAUGCAUCGGAACGUGCCCAGUCGUGGGGGAUAACGCAGCGAAAGUUGCGCUAAUACCGCAUACGAUCUAUGGAUGAAAGCGGGGGACCGUAAGGCCUCGCGCGAUUGGAGCGGCCGAUGUCAGAUUAGGUAGUUGGUGGGGUAAAGGCUCACCAAGCCGACGAUCUGUAGCUGGUCUGAGAGGACGACCAGCCACACGGGGACUGAGACACGGCCCAGACUCCUACGGGAGGCAGCAGUGGGGAAUUUUGGACAAUGGGCGCAAGCCUGAUCCAGCAAUGCCGCGUGCAGGAAGAAGGCCUUCGGGUUGUAAACUGCUUUUGUACGGAACGAAACGGUCCUGGUUAAUACCCGGGGCUAAUGACGGUACCGUAAGAAUAAGCACCGGCUAACUACGUGCCAGCAGCCGCCGUAAAAC
rnacentral:rRNA from 1 species